AGAGUUUGAUCCUGGCUCAGAGUGAACGCUGGCGGCGUGGAUUAGGCAUGCAAGUCGAGCGAUUCCGACAUUUUGUCGGAAUAGCGGCAAACGGGUGAGUAACACGUGAGUAACUUUCCCUAAAGUCGGGCAUAGCAUCGAGAAAUCGGUGGUAAUUCCCGAUGUGGUCCACUCAUCGCAUGGUGAGAGGAUUAAAGGCGGGGACCGAAAGGCCUGCCUCUUUGGGAUGGGCUCGCGGCCUAUCAGCUUGUUGGUGGGGUAACGGCCUACCGAGGCAUAUGACGGGUAGCUGGUCUUAGAGGAUGGUCAGUCACACUGGGACUGAGACACUGCCCAGACUCCUACGGGAGGCUGCAGUCGAGAAUCUUUAGCAAUGGGCGAAAGCCUGACUAUGCGACGCCGCGUGCAGGAUGAAGGUUUUCGGAUCGUAAACUGCUUUUGUCAGGGAAGAAUCCUUCGAUAUUAAUAUUAUCGAAGCUGACGGUACCUGACGAAUAAGCCACGGCCAACUCCGUGCCAGCAGCCGCGGUAAUACGGAGGUGGCGAGCGUUACUCGGAAUCAUUGGGUGUAAAGGGCAAGUAGGCGGUCUAUUAAGUGAGGGGUGAAAUCUUCCGACUCAAUCGGAAGACUGCCUUUCAAACUGAUAGACUUGAGGCUGUGAGAGGAAAAUGGAAUUCGCGGUGUAAGGGUGAAAUCUGUAGAUAUCGCGAAGAACACCGGCGGCGAAGGCGGUUUUCUGGUGCAGUCCUGACGCUGAAUUGCGAAAGCUAGGGUAGCAAACGGAAUUAGAUACUCCGGUAGUCCUAGCCGUAAACGAUGAGCACUAGGUGUCGGACCUUCGGGUUCGGCGCCGCAGCUAACGCAUUAAGUGCUCCACCUGGGGACUACGGCCGCAAGGCUAAAACUCAAAGGAAUUGACGGGGACCCGCACAAGCGGUGGAACAUGUGGUUUAAUUCGAUGCUACGCGAAGAACCUCACCAAGGCUUGACUUGCUCGUCGUAUCCCGCUGAAAGGCGGGAGUCAGUUAGGCUGGACGAUGCACAGGUGCUGCAUGGCUGUCGUCAGCUCGUGUCGUGAGAUGUUGGGUUAAGUCCCGCAACGAGCGCAACCAUUGCCCUAUGUUGCCACCCGCGAAAUCUUGCUUGCAAGAUCCGCGGAGCACUCUUAGGGGACUGCCUGGGAUAACCAGGAGGAAGGUGGAGAUGACGUCAAGUCAGUACGGCCUUUAUGCCUUGGGCUACACACGUGUUACAAUGGGCGGUACAAAGGGUUGCCAACCCGCAAGGGGGAGCUAAUCUCAAAAAACCGUCCUCAGUUCGGAUAGAAGUCUGCAAUUCGACUUCUUGAGGCCGGAAUCGCUAGUAAUGGGAGAUCAGCUCGCUCCCGUGAAUACGUUCCCGGGUCUUGUACACACCGCCCGUCAAGCGAUGGGAGCCGGGAGUACCCGAAGUCCUAUGUAGAUGGGCCGAAGGUAAAACUGGUGACUGGCGCUAAGUCGUAACAAGGUA
rnacentral:rRNA from 1 species